ACUCUCCAUGCGAAAAUUCACGCAUUAAAACCCCACGGUUUCUCUAAACUCGAAUUUUAAACAUUCGACUUCAUCCGAGUGCAGCACGCCUAGCGUCAAACCGAGAAAACAUACGUUUAUAUAGAAUAUCCACCCCGGCCCACCAUCAAGAUGACGUCAACACGGGGGCCACUCGCAACACCCACAAUUGGCUCAAACGCGUCACGUGGUCACGCAAUAUCUGUCAAUUUCCUUCGUGAAAUGGCAUUUCUACGUUAAUAUGUUUUUGUUACAGAGCCUCAAGAAGAAAAAUAUACCCUGCAUUUAUCACCUGCAACAGUUUCUACGAUUUUCUUUUCAAUCUGUACACGGCGUUCGAUAUAUGCUUCCGUAUCCGGUCAGCUGUAAUGGAUGCCGUAUGCCGAGCUCUCUAACUGCGAACUUGUGUGACUCCCGGUUCAUCCUCUUUGUUCGGGUCACUGGGUUGGUGUUGGAGUUGGUCACCAUAUUCUGAACGUUUCACCUAUCGUUGCGGUGUACUGUUCUUGAUCUGCUGCGAAGCGACGAACCGCAACGGCAGUCACUCGCCUCAGCGAACUUCUGUCUGCUGCAUCUCAAAGGAUCAUGGGGACCUGAUGAUACCUUCAACUAAAAAAACCAAAUGUGCUCUCGUGUGGUCCUGACGGAAAAGUAGUAUCAACAAGAACCCUCCACUUUUUCGACCAAGUUAUCGUUAUGAGAUCCUUCUGAUGGCUUCUUACUAGGCUAUGCCGCUCCGAAGCAUUGAGAUGACGAAGCGUCGUGGUAGCUGCACCUCUGCCUUCGAAAGAUGAAUCAGUCAUUCCACACUGUGCUUACUGGCUUUGUAUAGAGUCUGGCAAAUCCGACAGACUUGGACUGCCUUUUUCAAGAAAGUUUGAAAUAGCAUCCCUUAUGCACCUGCAUUUCAAUUCCAAUCUGUAUUACAAGAAUGACAGACCACUCAACAGAGAUGAACAUCUGAAAGUGAAAGAGCUGGAAUGAAGAUACGUUAAUCUGUGUCAAAGGUUCUUAGUAUGUGUGCGAGUCGAGGACAUAGGUCUCAAGCUUAUUCCUGUCUCCAGAAGAGGUGACAACUAUGCUCCUUCUAUCUAUUAACCAGCUCCACUUUUUAGGGUUCCCUGUAAACUAAUGGAGCACAUCAUGUACUACCACGUUGUCAACCAAGUUGACUCUGUCAAUUUCUUUUUUUUAAAUUCCAGCAUGGCUUUAGAAAAGGGUAUUCAGGCAAAACUAACGUAGUGGAAUUCGUUCACAGCAUUUCAAACUGUCUUGAUUUCUGGGUCCAUGUAGAUGUAGUAUUCUUUUUAUUUUGUAAGGGCUUUUGACACUGUGCUCUACGCUCGCGUGUUGGCCAAAGUAGCCUAAUUAAAAUUCGAUCCUGCUACCUGGAUAUGCAGUUUCUCAACUAACCGUAACUGUGGCGACAACUCGUGAGGAGAACCUAUCAUAUCGCCACUAUGCAGCAUUUGUUAUAUUACAAUCGCUUCACAUUUUAAUCUAGUCAAAAGCAAGGCCUUUUGGUGAUCGGUCUUGUAUAAUUACGUGCCCCUCCGUUAUGUAACACCACACUGGGUUCUUCAACCUAUGAGAGAGAAAUAAAUAUAUUGCCA